rnacentral:lncRNA from 1 species
UGGGUGUUUGUUGUUUGUUCUUUUGUGGUAGAGCUUUUUGAAGCAAGUGUGACAGGCAGAUGCAGGGUGAUAUGACUGUAUGAUUUUCAGCUGUGACAAGAUAUAAUGAUCUUGUUGACGGGAGUCUUUUGACAGGCCUGAAAAUAGUCAAAUCUGUUUUCUGAGAAAUUGGUCUUUAUUCAAUGCGUUCAAUUUGAAAAGUCUUAUAUAUAAUAACAGUAUUACAUAAUAAAAUAUAAAGUAUAACAAUAUUAAUGCGGUCAAUAUAUGCAAUACAAUAACAAAUCAUGAAUAUCAAUACUGAAGAUGGAACUGUGAAGUUUCUUACUAUUUCACCUUGAACGGUGUGAACUCUAGAGUGUUUGACUGGUUUCUUAAUUGUGCAGCCUG